AACGAACGCUGGCGGCAUGCCUAACACAUGCAAGUCGAACGAGACCUUCGGGUCUAGUGGCGCACGGGUGCGUAACGCGUGGGAACCUGCCCUUAGGUUCGGAAUAACGCCCCGAAAGGGGUGCUAAUACCGGAUAAUGUCUUCGGACCAAAGAGUUAUCGCCUUUGGAUGGGCCCGCGUUGGAUUAGCUAGUUGGUAGGGUAAAAGCCUACCAAGGCGACGAUCCAUAGCUGGUCUGAGAGGAUGAUCAGCCACACUGGGACUGAGACACGGCCCAGACUCCUACGGGAGGCAGCAGUGGGGAAUAUUGGACAAUGGGCGAAAGCAUGAUCCAGCAAUGCCGCGUGAGUGAUGAAGGCCUUAGGGUUGUAAAGCUCUUUUACCCGGCAUGAUAAUGACAGUACCGGGAGAAUAAGCUCCGGCUAACUCCAUG
rnacentral:rRNA from 1 species